GCCGAUGUAGCUCAGUUGGUAGAGCAACUGAUUCGUAAUCAGUAGGUCGCCAGUCCGACUCUGGCCAUCGGCUCCA
rnacentral:tRNA from 1 species